UCAAGCCCUCCAGUUGUGGAAUUGUUAUGUUAUUUGUCUAUGGGACCGCUUGAUGCGGAUUGUUUGCGCCGGUGUUCCGAGCAGGUAAGACAGCACCAGCUGCCAGCGACCUGGCCGCCAGCCGCAGCCAGCGUAAGAUCUCCUACUCUCACAGGGAAAUGGCAGUGACGUGUGUUUUCAACUCACUGUCACGCUUGCGCGACAAACGUUGUCACUGGCUGGGUGUGCUGACCGGUGGAAAUGUUUUUGUCUCACAUGAACGUCGUCUGCGCCGCUGCGGUCCGCUGUACAGUGUGCUCUGUCGGUGCCGGCAGUGUCGCGUGGCUGGCGCCAGGCAGUGGACGACAGCCUGGGGCGCCGCCAUGACCUCCACCUUACCAGAGACGACGUGAAGCACGCCAACAACAAGCGCAUGGAUCGGCUUCUACGCCGCAUGCCGUCCCUGCGGCGGCUCACAACCGACCAUGACUUCUCACCGCCGGCGCCGUUAUCCGUUGACGUCGUCUCCCGGCUCUCAAGACACCUGGAAAGCGUGGAUUUGUUCCACUUCGACGCGGCCCCACAGCCUCUGGAGGGGCUGUGGACCAGGUGUCCCCGGCUGGGGGACGUCACGCUGCCUCGCGGGUCUGCCGAGCGGUGCGCGGAGGUGCUGCUUCGCCGCCUGCCGUCCCUGCGGCGGCUGGACGUGGCGCGGAGUGACGUGCGGGGAGAGUGUUUAUCGCUGCUCCCCGAGUCAUUGGAGGCUCUCUCGGUGGCCUGGUGUCGACAUCUACAGCCGGCCUGCCUGCGUCAGCUGACCCGCUGUCCUCGGCUGCGGCGGCUGGACGUGUCAGGUGUGGAGGGGCUGCAGGCGGCAGACCUGGCGGCGGUGCUGGCCGGCUGUCCACAGCUGGAGCGGCUGACGGCGAGGGGGCUGAAGCCGGCGCUGGAGCUCUGCCUGCCGCCGGCCGGCCUCCCCUCCCUCCGACACCUGGACGUGACGUGCUCCCGUGAAGUCACCGACUCCACGCUGAAGCGGCUGCCCGACCUGCUGCCAGGCCUGCACUCACUCAGCAUAGACAGUGAGCAUAUUCCACAUCACGCAGUUUCCGUGUAUUCCGUAGUGGCAACACGGUGAUGGUGCAGCUGAAGUGACGCAUUAAAGCCAGCUGUUCCAUAUCAAUAGGACACGCUCCCGACCCCGCAUGCCGUGGCUCCGCCAUGGAGUUGCGAAAGGCGGUGUUGUUUACAGCACCAGCGGUUCAGCCGCUGUUCAUGUUCUGACGUCAUCUGGCGAUCACGUGACGGUGCUGAUGCAUUGGACCCGGUCCGGCUUCUUGUGUGUUUCAGCGUGUUUCGGGGUGACGGCUGUUGGGCUGGACAGCCUGCCGCGGCUCAGGCAGCUGUGUCAGCUGAACCUGGCCUGGCUGCCCGCUGUGACGGACGCCACACUGGACCGGCUACACGGGCCGCGUCUGAGGAUGCUGGACCUGACCGAGUGCCAGUCUUGUUCAACAGAUGGUGUCACACGGCUGGUGCUCAGCUGUCCGUCGCUGACGGCACUGGGGUGGAGGUGGUGGUCUGACCUACGACCGGACCAGGUCCCUGGUAGACAGCCUGGUGCGCCAGCUGCCCCCGAACCGUGACGUCACACUCGAGGUCUCCGGUAGGUGGAUGUCGCACCCGCUCUCCUCCGUGUCGACGGAUGGAGCGAACUGAGCGUUCGUCGCUCCGUCAAUGGGAUCGUUGAUUAUGCGCCCCAGGCUAUUUAUCGGAGGCUGGAAUUGUCGCGCCAAGUCUGGUCCGACGGCUGAGCUCCGAGUCAGCCAACUAAGCAGUGAUUGCACGUUGAAAGUGCAUCGCACCGCAUCCUCGUCGGGGAUACGUCUGGGUGACCGUGUUACCUUCCAUUGUUACACUGCACUCCCGGCGGUCGCUUGUUCACGUGGCGCCUGGGUUGCCGCGGUGAGAAGACGGAGCGCACGACCCAGUGCUGCGGUGACCGGUGUUUGUGUGAGCCAGCCGCCGUGUGUGUUCGGUGGCUGAUG
rnacentral:misc_RNA from 1 species